rnacentral:rRNA from 1 species
GUGGGGAAUAUUGCACAAGUCGGGGGGAAACCCUGAUGCAGCGACGCCGCGUGAGCGAAGAAGUAUUUCGGUAUGUAAAGCUCUAUCAGCAGGGAAGAAAAUGACGGUACCUGACUAAGAAGCCCCGGCUAACUACGUGCC